AACGAACGCUGGCGGCAUGCCUAACACAUGCAAGUCGAACGAGACCUUCGGGUCUAGUGGCGCACGGGUGCGUAACGCGUGGGAACCUGCCCUUAGGUUCGGAAUAACUCCCCGAAAGGGGUGCUAAUACCGGAUAAUGUCUUCGGACCAAAGAUUUAUCGCCUUUGGAUGGGCCCGCGUUGGUUUAGCUUGUUGGUAGGGUAAAAGCCUACCAAGGCGACGAUCCAUAGCUGGUCUGAGAGGAUGAUCAGCCACACUGGGACUGAGACACGGCCCAGACUCCUACGGGAGGCAGCAGUGGGGAAUAUAGGAAAAUGGGCGAAAGCCUGAUCCAGCAAUGCCGCGUGAGUGAUGAAGGCCUUAGGGUUGUAAAGCUCUUUUACCCGGGAUGAUAAUGACAGUACCGGGAGAAUAAGCUCCGGCUAACUCCGUG
rnacentral:rRNA from 1 species